UCCUCCGCGAGGGCACCUGCUGGGAGCGCCACCUUCUCCCCUGGGGCUGUGGGUAGGGGCCGCCGCUUGCCAUCGGCAGUUGGGGAAACCGAGGGAGAGGGAUCUGCGCAAGAUUCGUUCUGCAGUUGCUGGUCAUCCAGCUAAAGGAAGAAAAUGUUUGGUCCAAGUUCACAGAUGGUCCCUUACAAUUUGAAGGCACCAGAUGGAUGCGGACUACUGAAGCAUACUGACAAAAUCAGGAAUGUGGGCACAUCACAGCCUUCCUGUGCUCAAGAACACUAGACGGCACUUCAGUACUACACUUGGGAGCCCUUUUGAAACAGCAAAAUCACCAACAAGAAGCACAGAGAUGCAAAAGAUGUGGCACUAAAUAGCCUGCCAGAAGGACCCUUGCUUACAGUAGGAGAGCUGAAACAAGAAGGCAGUGUUGCCUCUUUUGACCUCAGCUGAGAAUGGGCCCAUUGGGUGACUCAAAUUUUUCGCCACUCCAAGCAUGUUUGUGAAUGACCACAAAAGAGAGCAAGUACUGAUUUGGGGCUUACAAAUCAAUUGUAUUUAAUCAGCAGGUGGUGCAAAUAGGGAAUCCACAAAUAAUGAAGCUUGACUAUAUCAUCUUAUGGUUCCCUGGGGAAGUAGUCACUACAACAGUGACACAGGAGCUGGAAGGAACCUCAGAAGUCUCUCCUGUCGUUGGGACUCUGGGAGGCUAGUGCAGUGAGGCGAUUUACUCCAAAAACAUCCACUGCAUGUGUGACGCACCUGGGACUAAAUCUCAGCCACAGUUAGUGCCCUUUCCACUACACAGUAUUGGGACCAAAUGCAACUAAUUUAACUUGCAGGUGGGGCUAUGUGCCAAACUUUUUGCACACUUCCCCCAGUUUAUUCUCUGCAAUAAUUAAAAUUUGCUUUUGAUCAGAACAUUUGAUUUGAGGUCUUAAAGGAUAUGGCACAAUGAAUAAUAUGUAUUAAAAAAAGAAAAAAGGAGGAUCUCAACCCUGAAUGAAAUCAGGCACAAAAUGAGACAUUAAGAGAACUCAAUAAAAUAUCUGCAGAGAGAACAGGCUUUGGACUUUAAAUUUAGCUCCCCAGUGAGCCAGUUCAGGGAUGGGUAAUAUGAGGGGGAAAUGAUGCGGGAAAAGCCAAAUGUCUCGUAGAAUUUCAGAGAUAUGAGUGCAUGAUGCAUGAAUAAGAAAGAUGUGCUGAGAUGUGAUAUUUUAGUGGGAAAAUUACUAAUGUAUGCAUAUUCAUAAAUGUAUAUAUUUUGAUGCAAGAUGAUCUCAAAUUUUUUUUGCUAUUCCAACAAUUUUGCAAACUUAGGUUAUUCUUUAUUUGGCUAAAAGAAGUACAGAAUUUAAAACCCAAAUUAAGAAUUGCUUAUAAUUAAUGUGGCCUGCAGGCUGUUUGAUAAAUGUGUACACUUCAAAUGAACCGACAAACUAAAAAAAUAAAUAAAAACGACAAA